rnacentral:lncRNA from 1 species
AGCACAUCCUUUGUACUCAUUUAGAAACGUAACUCUGAAUUUCUCUGUCUCUGCAAAGGGGUAAUUCCUGGGUGUUCUUCAGUGGUGAGUGAAGGCAUUUUUGCACAUGCUAUCGGAUGAACUGAGUCUAGAAUUUUGGUGAGCUCUCUUCCAGAAUAGACCACUGGUUCCUUGGGUGAGAAUGAAGACUUGCAAAGAGCCUGAUGGUGAGGAUAAGAUUGCUUUGUGAGAAGUUUAUACAUCAGAGCAGUGGGAACAGAGCAGACAUAUUUGAUACCGAAAAAAGUGAACCCCAGGAGAGGGCUCCAAGCUUCAGCUCUUGUCUGAGACUGUCCUGCACUGUGGCUGUAUGAUUACCAUAGCCCUUGACUUCUGAAUGGCAAAUGGCACCUGAAAGAGAAAUCACUAAGUCACAGGGUCGGCUCCAUCCUACUCCUCUAUACUAUACAGAUAAAGCCACAAUGUAAGGUUCCAGGUGGCCACACUUAUUUGGAGACACCAUUUAACACGGUUCUGCUUCUACUUCCAUGAGAACCUAGUGAAGAAGACACAGCCAGAGCUUUGAUCAAAGAUUCCAAAUGCAAAUACAACUAACCACCCAACUGGUCCCAUCAGCCAAUGUAUCUCUUUGUUACCUCAAGGGAGAUUGAUUUACGCUUUCAUCAAUAAAUCUUCAUAUUUUCAA